rnacentral:rRNA from 1 species
GACGAACGCUGGCGGCGUGCUUAACACAUGCAAGUCGAACGGAAAGGCCCUGCUUUUGUGGGGUGCUCGAGUGGCGAACGGGUGAGUAACACGUGAGUAACCUGCCCUUGACUUUGGGAUAACUUCAGGAAACUGGGGCUAAUACCGGAUAGGAGCUCCUGCUGCAUGGUGGGGGUUGGAAAGUUUCGGCGGUUGGGGAUGGACUCGCGGCUUAUCAGCUUGUUGGUGGGGUAGUGGCUUACCAAGGCUUUGACGGGUAGCCGGCCUGAGAGGGUGACCGGCCACAUUGGGACUGGAAUACGGCCCAGACUCCUACGGGAGGCAGCAGUGGGGAAUAUUGCACAAUGGGCGGAAGCCUGAUGCAGCAACGCCGCGUGCGGGAUGACGGCCUUCGGGUUGUAAACCGCUUUCGCCUGUGACGAAGCGUGAGUGACGGUAAUGGGUAAAGAAGCACCGGCUAACUACGUG